UUUUUUUUUUUUUUUUUUUUUUUUUUUUAGAACUAGCUUUUCUUGUUCAUCGUGUUGGGAGGCAGGAGGUAGAAGCAGAAAGGGCCAUGGUAUAAAAUAGUAGAGAAUAUAUUUCCUAAAGGGUAUCAUUUCAAUUCAAGACAAAAAGAAAUUCUGUGGUACUUGUUUGUUUUGUUACUGUUUUUAUUCAGGUUUUGGUUUUUAGAGACAGUUUCUCUCUGUAACCCUGCCUGUUCUGAAGUGCAUUCUGUAGACUAGGCAGGCCUUGAACUCAUAAAGAUUAUCCUGCCUCUGCCUCCUGACUACUAGGAUUAAAGAUGUGUGCCACCGCUCCCCACCCUGAAAAUCUGUGGUUUUAUAGGACGAGUUGAGUAGAGGUAACCAACUAAGAGAAUUGUUGGAGAUAAAAUACAGAACUACAAAAACGGGAGAUACAUUGAAGUCAGUGAGACCAGCUUCUCCAGCUGAAUACCUCUGUGUGUAAGUAGAAGGGAAGUGGAUAAGAGACAUUGAUUGACUUGCCUAAGGUUCCAAAGGGGAAGUGGAACAAGGAUUCACUUGUUCUGACUUCUGGUCCAGUGCUCAGUUUGUUUUCUCUUCUAUAAAGAGGGAUGAGAUAGUAAUGCCAGCCUCUCUGAGGAUGGUUGUGGGGUAAAAUGCCAAUGUGUGUACAGUUUUGUAAGUUAGAGAGCAAUGACUGCAGGAGUGAAAGGUGACCGUGUUUUUAUCAUGGAAGACCAGAGUAGAAGUGGAGGUUGGAGCAUGAGAGGUAAAAUGCGGGAUUUCAGGUCCCAUAAGGACAGUCUGGGAUGAAGGACGGAUUGAUUAUGCCUCAGUUUUUUUUUUUUUUAAGAUGGACAGACAGACUUGGUGACCUGUAAUCCCAGCAGCUGAGGGAAGUUGAGGCAGGAAGAUUGAGACUUACAAGACAGCCUGAGCUACUUGAAACCUUGUCUUAAAAAACUAAUCAGAGAAAGGGUACAAAGAGAUGGAGCAAGUUUUAGAAAGGUGUGCAGUAGCAUGAGAUGAAUAGAUAGAUGGAUGCUUUUGACAAGGAAACUGGUUAAAGGCUUUUUGCUAAAAUGAGCUCGAAAUAAAAAAAGGAUCUGAUUUAUCAAUGGCAGUAGGAACAGAAAGGGAAAAAGAUGACAGGACGGAGUCUCAUUGUAAGACAGCAAAGAAUAGACAGGGUACUGGAAGAACAGCAGAUUCUUCUAGCAAAUUGGGAGCAUAAGGAUGAAAAAAACACACGCUCAGCUUUUGACCCUUUGAAUGAAAGGUGGUGGUGGUGGUAUUCCAUCAAAUAGAAACCAGAGGCUGGGAAAUAUACUUGGGGGAGAGAAAUAGGGGCUGGUGGCAAGCAUUUUACAGCCAUCUGCAUAGAAGCCUGGACAUUGAGCUGCUCUCAGUAAGACAACACAGGGAAAAGAGAAGGGACAGCAAUCAAGGUAGAUGCUACUCAACUCAAGGAUCGAGGGAUUAGCUUGCUUGGAAACUGAUUUGUGUGGUAGCACUUGGGCAAGUAUUGACUUUCUUACCCAUUACACAUAGGCUUCUGGGCAAUGGAGAUGGGAGGCAGGAAGGGGAGAAACUAACAUUCACCAGGUAGCUGUUAGAUUCCGAGGUGUUCACAUGUACUGAUCAUUUCGUCAGUCUUACGAUAUACCUAAUUUUUUAAUUACAAUUUUAUUUGUGGGUGUGUGUCUGUGCAUGGUGGGCACAGCACAUGUAUGGAGUGCUUACCUGCACUUAUUCAAAAGUAAAUUAAUAAAGCCAAAAUAACUCAACAGAGUGUGUCAUAGAUUAGAAAGCUGAAGGUUUGUUUGUCCGAGGUCACUAAUAUAAGAAAUGC
rnacentral:lncRNA from 1 species